UACGGAGGUGCAAGCGUUAUCCGGAUUCACUGGGUUUAAAGGGUGCGUAGGUGGGCAGGUAAGUCAGUGGUGAAAUCUCCGGGCUUAACUCGGAAACUGCCAUUGAUACUAUCUUUCUUGAAUACCGUGGAGGUCAGCGGAAUAUGUCAUGUAGCGGUGAAAUGCUUAGAUAUGACAUAGAACACCAAUUGCGAAGGCAGCUGGCUACACGAAUAUUGACACUGAUGCACGAAAGCGUGGGGAUCAAACAGG
rnacentral:rRNA from 1 species